rnacentral:SRP_RNA from 1 species
GCCAGGCAUGGUGGCGUGUGCCUGUAGUCCCAGCUACUCAGGAGGCUGAGGCAGGAGAAUUGCUUGAACCCAGGAGGCCGAGGUUGCAGUGAGCCGAGAUUGCACCACUGCACUCCAGCCUGGGCAACAGAGCAAGAUUCCGUCUCAA